AAACCAGCACCUCAAGUGGUCAGGAGGAUUAUUGGGCCUAAAGCAUCCGUAGCCUGCUCUGUAAGUUUCCGGUUAAAUCCAUUAGCUCAACUGAUGGGCCGCCGGAAAAACUGCAAAGCUAGGGAGUGGGAGAGGUAGACGGUACUCGGUAGGAAGGGGUAAAAUCCUUUGAUCUAUUGAUGACCACCUGUGGCGAAGGCGGUCUACCAGAACACGUUCGACGGUGAGGGAUGAAAGCUGGGGGAGCAAACCGGAUUAGAAACCCUGGUAGUCC
rnacentral:rRNA from 1 species